AACGAACGCUGGCGGCAGGCCUAACACACGCAAGUCGAGCGCCCCCUUUAGAGCACAAAGACGGAGACGCGGUGGUUGGAGAGAUCCGAUCGCUGGUUUUGGUUGUUUUUGUUCUUCUGAUGGGGGAGCGGCGGACGGGUGAGUAACGCGUGGGAAUUUUCCUCAAGGUACGGAACAACUCAGGGAAACUUGGGCUAAUACCGUAUGAUGUCUAGCGACCAAAGAUUUAUCGCCUU
rnacentral:rRNA from 1 species